ACCUAUCUACACAGCGAGCCUUUGAUAACUACAGGCCAUAAACAAUGUGGCUGAUUAUAAGAGUUUAAAUACUAAGAUGGUGUCCAGUAAAUGGCUGAGGAAUCUAUCAAGAUAUCAUAGGUGUAGCACAAAAUAGGAUUCAUAGUAUCUAAUCAGAAUGAAUGAAGUAUAUUCCACCCAAACCUGACACUGGAGACCACUUGCUAAAGAUGGUGGCAUCAGAAGAUGGAAGAAGCCUUUAUCCCUGAAUUUCAUGAAGGACAGCUAACCAGGAGAACCGCCCAACCAGAAACAACAGAUUUGGACUCUGUAUGAGCUAGAAAUAAACUUUUACAGGAUCAAGCCAAUGA